CUCAGGGAGUCUAGAAGCAGGAUGCCAUCUAUUCACACGGCUAUGGUCAGUGUGGCUGGAGAUGGUCAAUUUCAAUGAGAGGCCUGCUCUAAUUGUGAAAGGCAAACCCAGCCCAGUGCAGACUGCGAUCUGGAUCUGCCCGGAACGACUAAUGGAACAGCAACCUUAGCCUUCCAAAUUAAAGCCAGGAUGAGGGUCUCCUGCUCAUGGUCCUGAAUACAGAAAAGUGUCUAGCUGCUGCCUUGGCAGAAGUGCAGCCGGCCUCCAGAACACCGUCUGGGACUGGGGGCAACCUGCAAACGCCUGGUUCUGGUCCACACAGAGGGGACAGCAGAGCAGAGGGCUAGGUUUGGAAACCUUUGUAACAUCUGACUGGUGCCUGGUCAAGUUGGGAGCUGGCCGAGGACCACACAGGAGCUCCCCUGCAGAGCGACCAAACGGAAGAGGGCCCUUUGCCUUGAGACCAGCUUCAGGGAGUGGCCACGGGUCAACCAUCAGCUUCAUUUGAGUUCGCUGUGGAGCAGUGGGGCAAGGCCACCUACAGGCAGCUCCCUGGUUGCCCCCGCAGGCAGUCAUGGGCUCCCACCACCAGCUGGAACAGAAGAGCCACAGCAAAAGCUGCUGCGGCUGCUGCUUGGAGAGGCGCGGAUACCCGGAGGGCCCGGCGGGAGGCUGGAGGCUGCAUCUGUCUCCUGUGUUCACAAAACACUCGCUCUUCUCAUCUGUAUGAUACGGGCUCGGCCUCUGCUAAGUGCACAAUUUCGUGAUUAAGUGUGCAAAGUCUAGCGGGGCAAGGAUGCAGCCUGCGCCUCGCCAGUCUUGGUCUUAGCUUUCAGGGGGAAGCGACAAGCCUGGAAUCGAGAUGCUGGCUCACAGUUCAUUGAGACAUUUUUCCCUGGCAAAGGUGGUCUUUGACGUGGAUUCAACAGUGCAAGAUGCUCUCCGACAGGGAGACCUGCCCUCGCUUCCUGCCUGUCACGGAGGAGCCCUCUGCCACAGAAGAGGGGGGAAACACAAGAGGAGACUUUUCCACUUAUUUCCUUCCCUUUAGCUCUUAGUGGUAUUUUUAUUUUUUUGCUCAAAAAGCAAACUUUCCUCAAAAAUUUGAGUCCUAGUACUAUUAAGUUCUAUGUAAUA